rnacentral:rRNA from 1 species
CAGUCGCCACGGUAAUACGUAGGGUGCAAGCGUUAAUCGGAAUUACUGGGCGUAAAGCGUGCGCAGGCGGUUAUAUAAGUCAGAUGUGAAAUCCCCGGGCUCAACCUGGGAACUGCAUUUGAGACUGUAUGGCUAGAGUGUGUCAGAGGGGGGUAGAAUUCCACGUGUAGCAGUGAAAUGCGUAGAUAUGUGGAGGAAUACCGAUGGCGGAGGCAGCCCCCUGGGAUAACACUGACGCUCAUGCACGAAAGCGUGGGGAGCAAACAGGAUUAGAUACCCCCGUAGUCCCUGUCUCUUAUAC